AAUACCUUCUCAGCGUAGUUAUUCUGUUUCUGAUGAGUUGGGUAAUGGAACUGUAGAAGUUAAGACUAUUAGCGAAUUGGUCGACUGCAUGGAGGAAGGACAUAUUUGGAUUGUUGCGACUGUAGUGAAUCUUCUACUUGAAAAAGAAUGGUCAUAUUUGGGGUGCAAGAGAUGCUCGAAGAAGGUUGACAAAAUUGGAAGUAAAUUUCACUGCAAGAAAUGUGAUCGCCUUGAUAGUUUUGGCACUCAUAGGUAGAAGCUUCGAGUGCAAGUAAUGGAUCACACUGGCUUUAUAAAUUUGUUGCUUUGGGAUCGUGAAGCAACAACUCUCAUUGGGAAGUCUGCUAAUCAGUUAAAUGAAAUUUCAAUUGAGGUAUAUUUUAUUUAUUU